AUCGACUACGCAUGCAGAGUCAGGUGUCUUCGGACGCGGGUAUACGGCUCAGUAACACGUAGGUAACCUACCCUCAGGACUGAGAUAACCCCGGGAAACUGGGGCUAAUAUUAGAUAGAUAAAAGAUACUGGAAUGUUCUUUUAUCCAAAGCUUUUGCGCCUGAGGAUGGGCCUGCGUCCGAUUAGGUUGUUGGGGGGGUAAUGGCCCACCAAGCCUGCGAUCGGUACGGGCGGUGGGAGCUGAAGCCCGGAGUUGGGGACUGAAACAAGGCCCCAGGCCCUACGGGGGGCAGCAGGCGCAAAACCCUUGCAUUGCGGGAAAACCGUGACAGGGGGAUCCAAAGUGCUCAUGCUUUGCUGGGCCUGUCCUUUGGCCUAGGAAACCGAGGAAGU
rnacentral:rRNA from 1 species